GCCUCUGUGGAUUAGGGGAAUCAUCUUGAGAAAGUUGCUCAGCUGUUUAAGUCGUCUUCUCAAGAAGACGUGGGUUCGACUCCCACCAGAGGCU